UUGAACGCUGGCGGCAUGCUUUACACAUGCAAGUCGAACGGCAGCGCGGGGCAACCUGGCGGCGAGUGGCGAACGGGUGAGUAAUAUAUCGGAACGUACCCAGAAGUGGGGGAUAACGUAGCGAAAGUUACGCUAAUACCGCAUACGAUCUACGGAUGAAAGUAGGGGACCGCAAGGCCUUAUGCUUUUGGAGCGGCCGAUAUCUGAUUAGCUAGUUGGUGAGGUAAAGGCUCACUAAGGCGACGAUCAGUAGCUGGUCUGAGAGGACGACCAGCCACACUGGAACUGAGACACGGUCCAGACUCCUACGGGAGGCAGCAGUGGGGAAUUUUGGACAAUGGGCGCAAGCCUGAUCCAGCAAUGCCGCGUGAGUGAAGAAGGCCUUCGGGUUGUAAAGCUCUUUUGUCAGGGAAGAAACGGUAGAGGCUAAUAUCCUUUGCUAAUGACGGUACCUGAAGAAUAAGCACCGGCUAACUACGUG
rnacentral:rRNA from 1 species